AUUGAACGCUGGCGGCAGGCCUAACACAUGCAAGUCGAGCGAGCGGCGGACGGGUGAGUAAUGUAUGGGGACUGCCCGAUAGAGGGGGAUAACUACUGGAAACGGUGGCUAAUACCGCAUACUAUCGGAUAACCCAUAUGGGAUUAGAUAGUGGGUGGGGUAAAGGCUCACCUAGGCGACGAUCUCUAGCUGGUCUGAGAGGAUGAUCAGCCACACUGGAACUGAGACAGGGCCCAGACUCCGACGGAGGCAGCAGAGGGAAAUAUUGCACAUUGGGCGCAAGCCUGAUGCACCCAUGCCGGGUGUAUGAAGAAGGCCUGAGGGUUGUAAAGUACGUUCAGCGGGGAGGCGUUACCCGCAGAAGAAGCACCGGCUAACUCCGUGCCAGCAGCCGCGGAAUUC
rnacentral:rRNA from 1 species